UCUUUCUAAGGUGUACACGUAAGCAUUUUUUGUGAGGUCCAAUACGGUUUGGUUUGGUGAUUUAUUUCUCACAUUUGAUUUCGUUCUUCGUCUCUUCCACUUCGCGUCUCCACUGAUCUUUCACGAGAAGCAUCUUAUUUUUGACUCUCCGCUAUCUCUUUCGCGGAAGCCGAGGCGAAGAAAAGUGGAAUGGAGAUAGCAGGCGUGGUCGGUCAAUCUAGCCUUCAAAUAUGCAGGUAACAUGUACCUCAAAUCGACCACAUGAACCAAAAUUUUCUUUGACCACAACCUCCCACUCAUCACAGAGUUCACAACGAGAGGAGCAGUAGGCGAGGACCUUCCCAGUUUCGAUCCUAAAACAUGGAUCAAUAAAAAACAACUUGCUUCAAUUGGCCAUCUCAACAAGUUCAUCUCCAACUCUAACCAGCAGGAAGCAGAUUUUAUUUGCAAGGCUCGGGUAGUUGAGGUCUUAAACUAAAAUGGCUGGUCCUAUGUCUCUUGCACACGCUGCAGCAGGAAGCUAAACAGAUUUGGCCCAUCUCUCCACUGCAAACAAUGUGUUAAUCUGAUGCAGCUACACCCGUGGUUGACAAGCAACACGAGGUUACAGACUGAUGCAACAGCAUCUUGUUGCUUCACCGACAAGUUUCCUUUUUUAGUUCUUUCCUUUUUAUUUAGGGUUUGUGUUUUACCUUUUCUAUCUAGGUUAAGGAUUUUAAUGACGGUUUAAAGACUCCUAUAUAAGGAACUCUCUUAUGGCUUUUGUAGAUACGAUUUGAUUAAUAAAGUUAUUGAUUUGGUUUUAA